rnacentral:rRNA from 1 species
GACGAACGCUGGCGGCGUGCUUAACACAUGCAAGUCGAACGGAAAGGCCUGCUUUCCCUUGUGGAUUGCGGGUACUCGAGUGGCGAACGGGUGAGUAACACGUGAGUGAUCUGCCCCCAACUUGGGUAUAAGCCUGGGAAACUGGGUCUAAUUCCCGAUAGGACUGCAGGGUGGUGCCUGUGGUGGAAAACGAUUUUCUAGUGGUUGGGGAUGAGCGCGCGGCCUAUCAGCUUGUUGGUGGGGUAAUGGCCUACCAAGGCGGCGACGGGUAGCCGGCCUGAGAGGGUGGACGGCCACAUUGGGACUGGGAUACGGCCCAGACUCCUACGGGAGGCAGCAGUGGGGAAUAUUGCACAAUGGGCGGAAGCCUGAUGCAGCGACGCCGCGUGGGGGAUGACGGCCUUCGGGUUGUAAACUCCUUUCGACCGCGAGGAAGCCACCUGGUUGGAAGGGUGGUGACGGUAGUGGUAGAAGAAGCACCGGCUAACUACGUG